CCACGGGAGGCAGCAGUGGGGAAUCUUGCGCAAUGCGCGAAAGCGUGACGCAGCAACACCGCGUGGGGGAAGACGGCCUUCGGGUUGUAAACCCCUUUCAGGAGGGACGAAGGCCGGCCGGUGAACAGCCGUGCCGGUUGACGGUACCUCCAGAAGAAGCCCCGGCUAACUACGUGCCAGCAGCCGCGGUAAUACGUAGGGGGCAAGCGUUGUCCGGAAUCAUUGGGCGUAAAGCGCGCGUAGGCGGCCCGAUAAGUCCGCCGUAAAAGUCAACGGCUCAACCGUUGAAAGUCGGUGGAUACUGUCGGGCUAGAGUCCGGAAGAGGCAAGUGGAAUUCCUGGUGUAGCGGUGGAAUGCGCAGAUAUCAGGAGGAACACCUAUAGCGAAGGCAGCUUGCUGGGACGGUACUGACGCUAAGGCGCGAAAGCGUGGGGAGCGAACAGGAUUAGAUACCUAGUAGUCC
rnacentral:rRNA from 1 species